ensembl:lncRNA
CUAAUGAUAUGACACGGUGCAUUACAAUGGUUAAUGUAGUCCCAGUUAAUGUACAUAAUGACCGAGCUUGUUUGUGCUGGUCCUUCAUGACAAUUUAGCAUCUACACACAGGAAAUGACUUUUGGAAACUGGGAGACUGAGGUUUAUACCUCCGGUACGAGAAAGAUAUCAAAAAAGAUUCUCAUUGUUUAACUCCAUAGGACAUCAGACAACUUGUCAGCCAGUGUUUAAACUUUUUUCCGUGCCGAUGUGAGGGUGUCUGGACCGAGGAUGUCGCAUGUGUACAGACUAUAAAGCCCUCUGAGGCAAAUUAGUAAUUUGCAAUUGUGGGCUAUACAAAAUAAAAUUAAUUGAAUUGAAAUAGAAAUUAACAUCAUGCUGUAUUGGUGACUUCAACCUUGCGAUUAAGACUAUAAUCUAUAAUAUGUUUAUAAAGGUAAUAAAAUAGGUGAGAUGUUGGGUCAUCUUCUCAGCGAUGUCCAUACAACCACAAUUAUUUCUGCAACCAGACGAGUGCACUUGUUGGUCGAUAUAGACAAUGCAAAUUAAUUAAAAUCCACUGUCCAUUUCUUUCCAAUCGGAAAGUUACUCUUUCAACAAAUGACUUUUAGCCAGACGGAAAUAAAGCCCAUUAGCUACAGCUGUAGAAUUUGUCCAGACGGUUGUUGAAUUACAAGCUUAAAACGUCAUGUUUGACCAACUAGCUUGUUGAGACAAAUGUAAGUAAAACAAUGUGAAUGUUUAACUCUCUUUGAAUCAUAUGAUAAUCGUAUGUCAUGCAGUGUCCUUGUGGGUAUUUGGGUUGUAAUUAUGAAAACGUUUUAUUUUCGUAAUGCAGCCUUUUUGACCAAUGUGUUAAAAUAUCUGAGGCAUUAUUGUCAGAGCAGCACACUUGUUGUAAUGAUGUAAUGUUCAUCACUUGAGAGGACAUAGUGUCUCCUGUUGAAUUUGACAAAAAGCAAAGAAGACUGCUGAGCAUGAUGUCACUGUGAUGUCAUCCUGUGAUGCACUGAGCUACUCUCCUCUUUGUUGGCACCUUUGACCUCAAACACAGAAUGCGUUAAAGUGCUUUGGGAAAUUGAUAGACUUCAAGGUAGAUCACUGCAAUUACAUAUAUGCAACAAUGAUGGUUUGGAAAUAAAAUACAGUCAGUGUCAGUAUAUAUAUGUGUCAGUGUGUGUGUUAAAAGUGUUAAAAGCUCUUUAGAAAAUAUUCACACGCCAAGAUUUGGAACAUUUUAUUUGAUUGUUUAAUUAAAGAUACAUGAUUAGAUAAAAGACAAACUGUUGGCACGUACACAGGAAACUGAUGGAUUCAAUAUGAUUCAGGCCAGUAGAUAACAGGGUUCCUCCAUUAACAUAUUAUGUCCCAACGAUUAUAUGAAAGAUAAAAAGAUACACGUAAUGUUAAUAGUGCAGAUGACGGUAGUUGAUCCGAGAUCCCUUGAUUAACGCACGCACACACACACACACACAAUGCCUUGAGGCUGGACGUGACAUUGUCCUUCUGUGUUUACGGUCCACGCUACAGAAACGCUUCUAGACUCGAUUGUUUUUUUGUUUUGUUUUUAUACGGCACGAGCCUUUGCUAAUGUUUUGUUGUGUUUGUGUGAGUAUGUGUGAAUUCAUUCACUCUAAAUUUCAAAUAUCCGAUUUGGUUUGUCAGAAAACAGAUGAAUUUACUGCGGCCAGAUUGCUACCGCCCACAUAAUUAGUCACCAUGUUGCCUACGAAAGGGGUAAAAUCUAUUUGCUCCGCGAGAGAAGUUUGAAGCAUGCGAUGAGUUUGCGAACGACUGAUCAGUGAGUGCAGGAGCCACUUGUGAUGAAAAGGACAGAUUACUGCAGAGACACCAACAGGAACAGCUUCUGUGUUGUCUAGAUCUCAAUAAUCUGCUUUAUUUGGCUGGACGGGGUCUUGCUACCUUAAUCUACUCAUCGGAAGGUUCUGUAAGGUUUUGCGACUUGUUAUUCCAAUGUUAUAAAAGCAGAGUGUGAACUUUGAUUGAACACAGAAGCUUAACAAAGAAGACAAGGGAGAUACUUAAGUAGUGCGCUGACGAAGUAGUGCAAGGUUUUAAACUAAAGUCAAUCAAUUCGUCAUUCUUCAAAUUGAAUUGUGUGUGUGUCGCUACUAAAAUCUCAACCAAGUUGUCGUUCAAUACGCAUACAAAAAAAAAAAUUAUAUAAACUAACGUGGGCAAUUUGACAUAAGAGGCUAGUUGGGAAACAGAAUACAUGAUGAUGGAAUCCACAUGUAUUAAUGUGUGUGUGUGUGUGUGUGUUGUUUUUGGGGGGAAAUACAUGGUUUUUAGUGACACAUUGCAUAUUUACACAAUGUGUUUGGAGUUGGUUCUGCUGUUAAUUGUGCUUUUUGAGUGUUCACCAAAUUCAUUUCAAAGAUUACAUUUGUGUUCUCGGUGGGGAAGAAUGUUUCAGGCCGUGUAUUCGGACUAAGUACAAGAUGAAGAGCACCUUAUCCGCACAGUUGAUUCAAUUUCUUUUCACUAAUUAAAGAUAUUAGUCAUAACUGCUGGAAGCCUUGAACCAACAUUUCUUUAAAGUCGGAACUAAUACAAUCUUUUUGAAAACACUGAAUCUUGAGUGUAUCAAAAAGCAAUUAUACUGUAAUUACACGUUAUACGAUUAGAACCCUCUUGUGUCCAUGUAACUGACAAUUUUAAUACAAAGUAAUAGUGUCAAAGUAUAAAACAUCAAAAAGGGUUCAGACUAAACUGUAAAUCAACUAGGAAGAACCUCAUAUAAUGUGGAAUGAUUCGAAUAGAUUAAUAGAUUAAUCGAGCAGAACAGUUUCUAUUUAUCUGCUAUUGCUAAUGACAUUCAUGUUUCCGAGCAACAAACCAGCCGGCACCCCGAAGGGAGUGAACGUGUCACUGACCAAUAAUGAUAUUAAUACUAAUUGCAUUCACUUAGACGUGACAUCUGGUGUUGUCAUCUCGUCAUCGUGAAGUCAGUCAGUUAAUCCCUUUACAUAGUGUGGAUUUGUGAUCUUGGUUUUAAUUAAGUAACAAGUGUUUAUUGAGGUGCAUGAACUACCCAUGUGAGUUAUUUCGCGCCUGAAAAGAAGGAUGGUCCAAUCAUUUUUGUAAUUAGCACCUACAAUAUGGACCACUGUUAAAUUUGAUUUACAACUAAAUAACUCUGAGUCUGUUUUUGCAGGCUGGUUGUUUUGAGAUUUUUAUGUCUAUUCAACUUCCGCAUAAACACCAAACCUUUAGGGAAACUCCACCGUUUUAACAUCUCAGUCUGUCUACAGCUCUGGCAGAGUGCGGCUGCAUUGUUGAACACAACAUUCAAAUCGUUUGUUGUUCUCGAGGAGACCUCCAUAACCUCGGCUCGACGCGAGCACCUGGAGGCAGCGUCGCCUGUUGUAGCACAACACACUCAGAUCCCACACCAAACUGCGGGUUGUCAAGUUGCAUCGUGGGUAAUGUAGGCACCGGGGUUUGACAAUGAUGAGCAAUAAAACACGUCUUGGGUCGGGUUACAACAAUUUGGAUCUUUUUGAAAUUAUGUCAAACGGCCAAUCAAAAGCACAAUAUGACGAGUAUUUCACCUGCAAAAUGUCACUAAAAUAGAUGCAAAAUAACACAGCGUAAGGAAUGUAGAGGAAAGGGUUUUCUCACACACUGACAGCUAUCGUCGUGAGCUGACGUGUCUGUUUUUUCUGGAUGCAUGAAUGUACACAUGAACAUGACCUCCAGAGAGCGUUUGCCCUUUUUGUGCUGUUUUGCAGAAUGAUGAAGACACACAUCCACAGAUCCAUGUCCAAGUCGUAAAUGGGGACCGUUUCUCUUUUGACGUCGUGAGGCAAGUUAGAUUUUCUUGCCAGAUUGGUUUACAGGAAAGGACAAUUACAGCAGGAAUCAAUGUGGAGCUUUAAUUGGACACUGAAGAUAAGUUUCCCGUUUCCCUUAGGAGUCUGCAAGAGGUCAAUGUCUGUAUGUUAGUUGUUUGUUUUUGUCCACAAAGCCUCACACCAUUGUCCUCUAAAAAAAGGUAGGGUUGUCUUUAAAAAGAUACCGGUUACAGUAGCAGCAAAUAAAGCAAUUAGUUGUAAAUGGUGACAAACCUUCCAUAGAAAGAUGGACUGAAAUUGUUAAAAAAAAUCCACGACAUGGAAAGAUUGACUUUCCUUCUGAGAUUAAGACAUAAACAGAAAAGUGGGCAAGGUGGAUCAAAUAUAUGGGAGAACAAGAGACUGGGCAGAAGACCUGCCCGACCUAGUCCCCCUAGGGUUACAUGUAUACACAAAAAAGAAUGUGACAUCGGCGAGUCAGUGGCAGAAUAAAAGCCUUCAAAUAGGUCAUGAGUAGGGUUGCAAAGGGGCGGAAAGUUUCCACGGGAAUUUUGGCUCGGGAAUUUGGGGAAUUUUGAAAAAAACAAUGUGCCUAAGUUUUUUUUGCAAAAGCAUAUAACAGGGAACUUAAAUGUAGUUGAGAACAAGACUAUGCACGCCUAGCUUAGCUGGACCCUGAAUGCAGCUGGUUGGGAACAUUGUCUGCCAGAAACAUACACGUAAACUAGUGCCGAUUUUAGGCUGAAACUUCUGGUGGGGCAAUUUUGUAUGACGUCAUGUCACCGUCACAAAAAUAGAGGUAGCUGAUUAUUAUAAGCCGUAGGCCAAUAUAGACCGAUAAAAUAUGGUAUGGUCUACAUUCUAAGUGCCAGCAGGGAAUAGAAAUCCUCUUUCAAAUACAUUUCACAUGCUUCAGCGCGACACAAAGAUGUUGCCUAUAAUACAGCAUUAAAGUAAAAUAAUUGCAACAAAGUAAAAAGAUUAGACAGACACAUACCUCAAAUAACUUGCAUAAUUUAUUAAGCUUGUGGCACACGUGUGGUACACAAUAUGAAGCAAAAGGCACAACUGACAACUGUUGAGGAAGUAGACAGUGAGGGGUACAUUGAUGAGGUCCAGGAAGAAAGCAUUUAGACCUGAAAGGAUUCAGGGAAAACCCCCCCCCAAAAAAAUUGGGUUGGGGGGUGGUGAUUUUUGUAUUCAACGUUCAUGUUUUUGUUGUUCGAUGAAAGAAUAAAUUUCUACUCACAAAAUGUCAAAAAAGUACAAAAUGUCAUUUUUAAAAGUUGUAUUAUAAAUGUUUGCAUGCAUGUCUGCUUUUGACAAGGUAAAUACAGUUAAAUUACCCCAAGAUUUCCAGUUUAUUCCCGUUAAUUCCCAUAUAUUCCCGUAGAAAGUUUCCAACUUUGAAUAUUCCCGGAAUUUUGCAACCCUGGUCAUGAGUGUCGACAUCUUUGCAGCGGUCUUAAACCCCGACAAAUGACCCCCUUUAGAUUUGUUUCUUUUUGCUUUGGUCGGCGGUUAGACUAAUAGUUGAUUAUUUAAUGUGUUUUGACCCUGACAUAAACAAUUUAGGAACAACUCUCCCAUCUCUCAAAGAGGCUUCUCAGUUUCUCGACUGAAGGAUAAUCCAUGAAAAUGAACCAAAUAUAUCAAAUUCCAAACCAUAUUUUGUUGACCCACACCCCGCCUCUUGUGCAUGUUCAAUGUCCGACCUCCUUCUGGACCGUUUUGGAGUUGCAUCCUUGAUGAGUCAUUUGGAUCCCAUUAUGGAAAUGUCUGACAUGUACAGAGAGCUGUAAAUUACCUUGUAAAUUGUGUUUAACUGUUUACACACGCAGAUGGAAAUAUGCAGAGCUUCAUGUUCCAGACGUUGUUGUUUUCAGAGAUGCUUUCCUAGAAGUGUUUCCUUCUUUCCUUUUGUCAGAAAACUUCAAUGUUUCCUUUUAAUGCACUAACUUGAGUGUUCUGUUUGUCGUUGACGCUUUGUCCAGCUGGGACAACAACAACAAACACAAACUCUGAUUCAAUUUGGUAUUUUUAAGCUUGUUUUGAUGUCUUUUUGACAAGGCAUUUAUUUAUGUGAAGCUUUUUUAUAUGUAUGUGUUUUUAUAUUAAAUGUUGGGAAACUAGGUUGGGGUAAAAAAGACUCACCAGAAGAAUCAUUUUAGCGUUUAGCUUGUGUUGUGGAGCUGCAAUGAACUCUUGAACUCAAAUAGUCAACAUACGUCUUAAAGGCCAAAUAACAGUAAUUUUGUUUAGCAUACAAAUGCCCCACAGAUUUUUGCAUUUUGAACGGCAUCAAGAAUUAAUGAGCAAAGCUUAUCAAACGUACGCUUUGUAGUCUGUUGUUAAGGCCCAAACCGAAGCAACUGGUGUCAGUUCUUCAAAACUGCAAAUUGAGAGAAUAACGCGCACAAAAGAAGCCGAAAACCCAUCGGUCAUGACGAGGGAGGAACUUUUCAGCGUGCGUGCAGAAAGGUCCUGUCGCAUGGAGUCAGCUUCAUGUCCCGCUUCCUUUUCUCUUCAGAGAAGCAUCAGGACAAAGGUUCUUGAAUGAGGAUGAAGGCUGUUGAUGGGGAGUGGGAGGAAGAGCCCGGGGCUGCUCUGUGGUGUGGAUGCUGAUGAACUGAUGUAGUAAUUUGUUAAUGAGAUCUAAGCUGUCUCCUCUCUGGUUUUGUCCAUACGAAGGGACAUCUGCCCUGCCCUGGGCGCUGAGACAGCAGCUUCACUGUGGACAAACCGGUCGGUAGACGUGUGUGCGUGUGUGCUUAUAUGUGUGUGUGUGUGUGUGUGUGUGUGUGUCAGAGACAAUGUGAGGGUGACGACACGCACCUCCAUCGCUCUCACCUGACAUCCUGAGCCGGAGGAAACAGAACUUGAGAGGGAGGUCCAAACUCUCAAAGAUGCUGAGGUGUUCAAAACUGCUUCAACAUAUGCAGUUCAUAAAUAGGCCGGAGCACAGACAUUUAUUUGGCAGGUCGCCCUCUUCAGUGCGCUGUGACUUAACUCUCUGCAGGGCCUUU